AGUGAACGCUGGCGGUAGGCCUAACACAUGCAAGUCGAACGGCAGCACAGUAAGAGCUUGCUCUUACGGGUGGCGAGUGGCGGACGGGUGAGGAAUACAUCGGAAUCUACUUUUUCGUGGGGGAUAACGUAGGGAAACUUACGCUAAUACCGCAUACGACCUACGGGUGAAAGCAGGGGAUCUUCGGACCUUGCGCGAUUGAAUGAGCCGAUGUCGGAUUAGCUAGUUGGCGGGGUAAAGGCCCACCAAGGCGACGAUCCGUAGCUGGUCUGAGAGGAUGAUCAGCCACACUGGAACUGAGACACGGUCAAGACUCCUAAGGGAGGCAGCAGUGGGGAAUAUUGGACAAUGGGCGCAAGCCUGAUCCAGCCAUACCGCGUGGGUGAAGAAGGCCUUCGGGUUGUAAAGCCCUUUUGUUGGGAAAGAAAAGCAGCAGGUUAAUACCACGCUGUUCUGACGGUACCCAAAGAAUAAGCACCGGCUAACUUCGUG
rnacentral:rRNA from 1 species